GGGGGGAGGCCGGAUCCUGGGCUGUGUCCCGGCGCCCUGUGCUCCGGGGCCUGCGUUGUUGGAUUCGCGCUCCCACCUGGCCUCCUUUC
rnacentral:pre_miRNA from 1 species